UACAGAGGGUGCGAGCGUUAAUCGGAAUUACUGGGCGUAAAGCGCACGUAGGCGGCUUGGUAUGUCGGGUGUGAAAUCCCCGGGCUCAACCUGGGAACUGCAUCCGAAACUGCCUUGCUCGAGUAUGGGAGAGGGAAGUGGAAUUUCCGGUGUAGCGGUGAAAUGCGUAGAUAUCGGAAGGAACAUCAGAGGCGAAGGCGGCUACCUGGACAAUUGCUGACGCUCAGGCACGAAAGCGUGGGGAGCAAAAGGG
rnacentral:rRNA from 1 species